GAGAACCCCGGACACCGUAAGCCCAAGGGUUCCUGCGCCAUGGCAAUCAGCGCAGGGUGAGGCGGUUCCUAAGGCGAGGCCCCAGAGGCGUAGCCGAUGGCCAACGGGUGAACAGUCCCGUCCCGCCGCGACAUGUUGAACCUGCGAGGGACACCGGAACGAAGCGACCGCGGUUUUGUGGAUGACCGUCUAAGCCAGUAGGCGCAAGCCGAGAGGGGAUGGCGAGGUGGGUCUUCGGACCCGCCAAGGGUCGUAGAGUCGACGGGCAAGAAAAGCUUGCAGGGGAGUGGCGUGGUGACCGUACCGUAAACCGACACAGGUGGGCGAGGCGAGUAGCCUCAGGUGCACGAGUGAAACGUGGUCAAGGAACUCGGCAUAAUGAUCCCGUAACUUCGGAAGAAGGGAUGCAUGAUUGGGUGACUCGCUUCGCGCGGGAGGCCCGGUUGUGCCGCAGUGAAUCGGCUCAAGCGACUGUUUAGCAAAAACACAGGUGCAUGCCAAGCCGCACAAGGCGCCGUAUAUGCACUGACGCCUGCCCGGUGCCGGAAGGUUAAGGGGAGAGGUUAUCCGCAAGGAGACGCCUUGAGCCGAAGCCCCGGUAAACGGCGGCCGUAACUAUAACGGUCCUAAGGUAGCGAAAUUCCUUGUCGGGUAAGUUCCGACCUGCACGAAUGGCGUAACGACUUGAGCACUGUCUCGACCACGCGCUCGGCGAAAUUGCAGUCUCGGUGAGGAUUCCGAGUUCCCGCGACAGGACAAAAAGACCCCAUGCACCUUUACUGCAGCUUGCCAUUGCUCGCUGCAUUCAGCUGUGUAGCAUAGGUGGGACCCGUUGAGGCCCGGGCGCUAGCUCGGGUGGAGGGGCCAGUGAAAUACCACCCUGCUGAAUGCGGCGUGCUCACCACGGGUAGCAAACCUAUUCUGGGACCGUGGCAGGUGGGCAGUUUGACUGGGGCGGUCGCCUCCGAAAGCGUAACGGAGGCGCGCGCAUGGUUGGCUCAGCGCGGUCGGUACUCGCGCCUACAGAGUGUAACAGCACAAGCCAGCCUGACGGCGAGACCGACGGGUCGAGCCGGGACGAAAGUCGGUUGUAGUGAUCCGGUAGUACCGCGUGGGCGGGCUAUCGCGCAACGGAUAAAAGGUACGCUGGGGAUAACAGGCUUAUCGCGCCCGAGAGUUCACAUCGACGGCGCGGUUUGGCACCUCGAUGUCGGCUUAUCACAUCCUGGGGCUGGAGAAGGUCCCAAGGGUCCGGCUGUUCGCCGGUUAAAGUGGUACAUGAGCUGGGUUCAGAACGUCGUGAGACAGUUCGGUCUGUAUCCGUCGUGGGCGUUGGAGAGUUGAGGGGUGCGGACUCUAGUACGAGAGGACCGAGUCGGACGAUCCGCUCGUGUCCCGGCUGUUCUGCCAAGGGCACCGCCGGGUAGCGAUGAUCGGCACGGAUAACCGCUGAAAGCAUCUAAGUGGGAAGCCGUCCCCAAGAUGAACUCUCCCUGGAGCUUCGAGCUCCCUAAAGGGCCGUGAGAGACCAUCACAUCGAUAGGCCGCCCGUGGACAUGCAGCAAUGCAUUCCGAGCGCAGCGGUCCUAAUCGCCCGUGCGGCUUGACUAC
rnacentral:rRNA from 1 species